GUCAGGAUGGCCGAGCGGUCUAAGGUGCUGCGUUCAGGUCGCAAUCUCCCCUGGGUUCGAAUCCCACUUCUGAAA
rnacentral:tRNA from 1 species